AUCACUUCUUGGCCUUUUGGCUAAGAUCAAGUGUAGUAUCUGUUCUGAUCAGUUUAAUAUCUGGAAGGAAAAGAAAGAAAUAAUUAAAUCUGGAAGGAAGGAAU
ensembl:snRNA U2 U2 spliceosomal RNA